UACAGAGGUGGCAAGCGUUGUUCGGAAUUACUGGGCGUAAAGCGUGCGCAGGCGGUUAUGUAAGACAGAUGUGAAAUGCCCGGGCUUAACCUGGGAACUGCAUUUGUGACUGCAUGGCUAGAGUGUGUCAGAGGGGGGUAGAAUUCCACGUGUAGCAGUGAAAUGCGUAGAUAUGUGGAGGAAUACCGAUGGCGAAGGCAGCCCCCUGGGAUAACACUGACGCUCAUGCACGAAAGCGUGGGGAGCAAACAGG
rnacentral:rRNA from 1 species